CGCGCCUAACACAUGCAAGUCGAACGGAGAUCAUUUGGUAGAAGUUUUCGGAUGGACACCGGGUGAUCUUAGUGGCGAACGGGUGAGUAACGCGUGAGCAAUCUGCCUCAGAGUGGGGGACAACAGUUGGAAACGACUGCUAACACCGCAUAAGCCCACAGCACCGCAUGGUGCAGGGGGAAAAGAUUUAUUGCUUUGAGAUGAGCUCGCGUCCAAUUAGCUAGUUGGUGAGGUAACGGCCCACCAAGGCGACGAUUGGUAGCCGGACUGAGAGGUUGAACGGCCACAUUGGGACUGAGAUACGGCCCAGACUCCUACGGGAGGCAGCAGUGGGGAAUAUUGCACAAUGGGGGGAACCCUGAUGCAGCGACGCCGCGUGGAGGAAGAAGGUCUUCGGAUUGUAAACUCCUGUUGUUAGGGACGAUAAUGACGGCACCUAACAAGGAAGCACCGGCUAACUACGUGCCAGCCGCCGCGGUAA
rnacentral:rRNA from 1 species